rnacentral:rRNA from 1 species
AGAGUUUGAUCCUGGCUCAGAUUGAACGCUGGCGGCAUGCUUUACACAUGCAAGUCGAACGGCAGCACGGGUGCUUGCACCUGGUGGCGAGUGGCGAACGGGUGAGUAAUGCAUCGGAACGUACCCAGUCGUGGGGGAUAACGCACCGAAAGGUGUGCUAAUACCGCAUACGUCCUGAGGGAGAAAGCGGGGGACCGAAAGGCCUCGCGCGAUUGGAGCGGCCGAUGUCUGAUUAGCUAGUUGGUGGGGUAAAGGCCCACCAAGGCGACGAUCAGUAGCGGGUCUGAGAGGAUGAUCCGCCACACUGGAACUGAGACACGGUCCAGACUCCUACGGGAGGCAGCAGUAGGGAAUAUUGGACAAUGGGCGCAAGCCUGAUCCAGCCAUGCCGCGUGAGUGAAGAAGGCCUUCGGGUUGUAAAGCUCUUUUGUCCGGAAAGAAAAGCUUCGGGUCAAUACCCCGGAGUCCUGACGGUACCGGAAGAAUAAGCACCGGCUAACUUCGUGCCAGCAGCCGCGGUAAUACGAAGGGUGCAAGCGUUACUCGGAAUUACUGGGCGUAAAGCGUGCGUAGGUGGUUUGUUAAGUCUGAUGUGAAAGCCCUGGGCUCAACCUGGGAAUGGCAUUGGAUACUGGCAGGCUAGAGUGCGGUAGAGGGUAGUGGAAUUCCCGGUGUAGCAGUGAAAUGCGUAGAGAUCGGGAGGAACAUCUGUGGCGAAGGCGACUACCUGGACCAGCACUGACACUGAGGCACGAAAGCGUGGGGAGCAAGCAGGAUUAGAUACCCUGGUAG